UACGAAGGGGGCUAGCGUUGCUCGGAAUUACUGGGCGUAAAGGGAGCGUAGGCGGAUAGUUUAGUCAGGGGUGAAAGCCCAAGGCUCAACCUUGGAAUUGCCUUUGAUACUGAGGGCCUUGAGACCGGAAGAGGUCGGCGGAACUGCGAGUGUAGAGGUGAAAUUCGUAGAUAUUCGCAAGAACACCAGUGGCGAAGGCGGCCGACUGGUCCGGUUCUGACGCUGAGGCGCGAAAGCGUGGGGAGCAAACAGG
rnacentral:rRNA from 1 species